rnacentral:lncRNA from 1 species
GGGGCCUUCCCUUCACCCCGCGGGAGUUGGACCGGUGGCGCUGGUAAGGCCUCCCGGGCUCAAAGUGCAACGGACACUGCAGAAAUCCAAACUGCUGGCAUUCGCGGUUUGGGGACGCCAGAGGAGGUAAUGAUUUCUGGUUUGUUAACCUCAAGUGACAAUAAUGCCGAGCCAGGCAGGAGCUGGACCUACAAUCUUCUGAUGCGUGGUCAGACACGUUAUCCCUUGCGCCACUGGCCUACCACGCUACUCCUUCAGUCGCCGUUGGAUUACUGUGUGUUGAGAACACACUCGGCAACCACUUUAAAGGACAACGCAGGCUGGGACUCAUCUGAGGCUAAGCUGCCCAUAGUUCGGGGAGACCCACAGGGAAAACAAAACAAGAAACAGAGAACUUGGAAACGGACGCUGAUUACUUUGAACGUUUGCUCAACCGAGGAAGCAGGAACUGUUCGGCCCCAUCUCAAGUCCGCAGGGCGGACUGCCUGGCUCUGGGCAGAUCCGAGGUGGAUAGGACAAGGCAAAAGGUAGCCCUGGAGAGGUGAGUGGAUAAAGUCCCUGGACACAGGGGCUGCCGUUGGAGGAGGUUGUAAUGUCAUUGUCCUCCUGUGGAAGUUAACUGUGGAGAAUUAACUAGAGACCAGCGCUGAGAGAGAAUUAAUUGGAUAAAAGUUCUAUCUAGGACAGUCCUUGAGCGUAAUUUUGUGAAGCAAACACAAGACAACAACAAAACGAGUAAAACCUAAACACACAUCCACACACUCACUGAAAGAUUCAGAGAUUGCACAGAACACAAAGACUUUUCUGGUAAUAAAAUCUCCCUAUCCUAAUUUUCUAGAAAAAAAGCUGUUGAAGCCACCGCGCAGUUCUUACAAGACAUAACACAAAUCUUCCACACAAAGGCAGAAAUACAGUAUCAACCUUUGUGAGGAGUACAGCAAAUAAAUGAUGUUUCUUUAGGGUCCUAGGCAACCUGUAUGCUUUUGUUACCAGUGUAUACAACAUGGUAUGGUUUAUUGCUAUCUUUCA